GGAUUAGAUACCCUGGUAGUCCACGCCGUAAACGAUGUCUACUAGUUGUCUGAGAGUUUAACUUUUGGGUAACGCAGCUAACGCAUUAAGUAGACCGCCUGGGGAGUACGGCCGCAAGGUUAAAACUCAAAUGAAUUGACGGGGGCCCGCACAAGCGGUGGAGCAUGUGGUUUAAUUCGAUGCAACGCGAAGAACCUUACCUCCCCUUGACAUACAGUGAACUUUCCAGAGAUGGAUUGGUGCCUUCGGGAACACUGAUACAGGUGCUGCAUGGCUGUCGUCAGCUCGUGCCG
rnacentral:rRNA from 1 species